rnacentral:lncRNA from 1 species
GAGCAUCGACGUCAGGAUGCAUUUACGAGGGUGAUGCUGAUGUCUGGAGAUCACAAAGAGCAAAAACACGGAGAGGCGAAAAAAAAAUGGGCGAAACAACGAUCUCGCCAUGGACUUUGUGAGUGAUUACUUCCAUUCAUUCCACUUUUGUUCUAACUCUCUCUGUUCUUCCACUCCAGGAACGCGAAAGUAGGAGACCCAGCACCGAAAGAAAGGAAAAACUUCGCGAUCAGUUACAACCGCAUCCCCUUAAGUCGUCUGCAAGCUCUGGACAAAUUCUGGGUGGUCUUGGCGGGAUUUGCAGCAUUUCCUUUCGCUCAUCCUGGCCGUCGAAUCCAUCCGACGGCAGCCAGCCGAGCACACUUGUCCUAUAGAGAAGGUGCUGUAAGGUUUUUUUUGUUUUUUUUUUUUGGUCCUUGUGAAUUUUAUUUUUUUUUUGUGUUUACGUGCUUGCUCUGCAGACAUGGUUGGUGCCAUUGCUGCCUAGCAAGUUGUUCGCCGGUCACCUCAAGAACAGGCUUUUGCUCGCUCCUUUUCUCGGCUCUUCCAACUUUUUUCUAAGUGGAAGAGCACUUUGAUCCGGAAGCGCCAGUAAUCUAAUCGCUAGCUCCAAUGCUGCCACGGAGUUUUCUAUCAAUCCAUCGCGAGAGGGGUGUGUUUGGCGCUUUCGAUAGCUCACGUCUGGCUAGCCAAGGAGCGCGAGUUUUUUUUGGAGAUCAUGGAUAGAAUUCACAAAGAGUGUUAUUUACCUGUGGAAUGGAGAGUACAAAUUUUUCUUUUCUUUACACGAGAGCGAGGAGGAGAAACACAAAUGCUGCACGCUCGAGAGAAUCGAGAGUGUUAUUUGGAGGGCGCUAUCCUCUGAUCGAGAGAACCAAGCGAUAGAACCAAAAAGAAAACGUUGGGAAGAACUACAACGAGAAAACGAGAAAAGGGGAAAAAACUGCUCACAACUUCCACAAACCUGGGGAAAAUGCUGCCUCGCCUACAAACAAUCUUAUGGAGGAAUCGAGAUCGCCAAAUGGAAGGAGGAGGAAGGAAUCCAGCGGAAAGAAAGAAAGAAGUCCAAGGAAGAACGACGAAGAACUCUUCUCCUCCCCGCUUUUGUGCUGCUGCUACUUAUACUAGACCAGUGAAAAAGAAUAAAAAUCCCUCCUUUCGCUCCAAUCCACCCCUCCCCAUUCCAUUUGGGCGAUUCCCUCUUCUCCCAUGCUCCAAUCUAGUAGGUCUUGUAUGGAUCCUCUGCGAGGAGCUGCCUGGUGGUGGCAUCCAUCUUCAAUCCCAGAUCCAUGACGUGCUGCUGCUCCGCGAGGGAGAGAUCAUCCAUCUCCAUCGCCGAAGACAUGGCCCCUGCUCCAAUUCGUGCUCCCUGCGCUGCCAUGGGCAUCGCCGCCGCGAUGACAAUGCCAAUCAGCAGCACCAGCGCUGAGAUCUUCCUGAGAAUCGCCUGCAAUGCCAUCGCGCCGAAGAGAUUUCGCUGCGGGCUGGAAAGAAAUUCUUCCCUCACUCUCUCGCACAGAGCUCUCUCUCUCUCUCCCUGGCGAAAUAGGGUAAGCCCAGGGCCGGGUAUUUAUCUUCUGCAAUUACUCCACGUCGAAGAAAUUACCCAGUCCCUCCCUGGGCCGGGGAUUUUCUUCACACACGCUGAGACACGCUCUUUGUUUUUACGUGGGGUAAGUCGCGAAGUCCCGCCAUUGGGCCAGCUGUCAAAGUCUCCUACUGUAACGUAGUUAUAUGUGUAACUACCAUUUUAGGUCAUCUUUUACGUUACAUUCUACGGAAUAUUUCCCUGCAUGACGACGGCUGAUCUCAGCCGUGGGUUCCUUAGCGUACGGCAGGCGUACGAAGGGGAUAUUCUUGGGGCAUAUGCUGAUCCCACGGCGGUCGCUGUGAUGGAGAUGGUUGUUGCGCCGGCUACGUGCCACGAUGGGAACGACGCAACAACGCAAAGUUUUAAUUUUUGUGCGACAACGCGUCUAUUUUUUUUUUUGGUACUUAGUUCUUUUCUAUUUGGAGUUCUUUUCUUUGGGUUUUUAUUCGCUACAACGUGUUUCCAAUGGGGACAGCAAUGCUUAACUUCAGUGUUUAUGGACGAGCUUGGGAAUUCUGUGUUGGCCUUUUCCUGGAGGGUUGGGCCUUGUCUAUAAUGAGUGAUUUCUUUGGUUGAGACGUGUGUUUGGAGACCUGGCGGUGGUACAAGGAACCCUAAAAAAUUCCUGGAUCUUGGAGCUUUCUAGAAACUUUUGGAUGGACCAAUUCAAAGCUCUCCCCUUUUCUUAAUUCGUAGAAACCCUAAUAGGAGGAACCCUAAAGCUAGCAUUUGCAUUUUUCCUAUCCUACAUUUGAUCAGGCUCUCUGCAGGGAAUGUCAUGAGCUACCAUCGAUCAAUCAACCCUCGGUCAGUACUGGAGGAACAUCCACUUCAAGAGAAUGCCUGUCGAAAAGCUCAAAGAACAACCAACCGAUCGAUCUCUCGAUCGCGAGAAAAGCGAGAAAAAGCUAACCUUCCCAGCGCGUCGCCUCGGAGCUCACCGCGAUCCCGGUCACCAGUCGCGCCGCCGCCGUGGCGCUGUGCUUGGGCACCAUGGACGAAAUCCCCCUGUGGAUCCUGGAAACAAAAUCUCCUUUGUGCUCGAUCGAUCGAAUCCAUGCACUGGAAAUUCACCUGAUCCUGGCGCUCGCCUGCCCCUCCGGCGAUGGGAUCGCGAUCGAUCGCCGCAGUGGCCGCGCGCCUGGAAUCCCGAGCUGGGGAAGCCUCCUCAAUUCUAGCCGCCUCAUCACUCUUGCCGCCAUCGCUUUUCUUCUAUAGAGCUUAUAAACCCUAGGGUUUUAGACUAGGGCUAUGGCAGCGGCCAAUGUAGGUCGCAUGGCGGGGCGCUUCGCCUUCCGCGCUCGCGCUGCCAGGCCGCAAUUCCAUCCCAGGUCCUCCGGCGCCCAACCGCAGUACCAGUUCCAUCGAUCGUUGCCUCGAUCGUUCGAAGAAGCUCGAAUCAAGACCAGGUAUACAUUUAUUUCUCUUCUGGCAUUCUUUCGAUCGAAUUGCCAGGCUUCGUCGGGAGCUCGUGUCGCUGUUUCCUUUGCACAAUGCCACGGCCUCGUCCAGGCUCGUCUCGCUGAUUUCCGGUGGAUCCAAGAGCCUAGAAUGUAAGGAAAAUUCUUUCUUUGUCUUUGUUUGCUAUGAAGCUUGCUUGCAUUGUUGUUUGUUUCUUCCCUUCGGAUCUGGGGGUGGUCUCUCGCGCUUUCUUGCGGCAUUUUUUUUUUUUUUUUUCAUGCGCGUUUUCGGGUUGCAGGCAUUUUCUUGAAGUGGGUGUCUCUCGAUAAUUUCAGGCCGCUGCUACAGUCGAGGGGACGAUGAUGGCUGAGUCUCUCAGAAUUUAGCACACUAUCCUUGGAGUCCAUCGUCCGUUGUCACAGAUGAAUCUGUGGCUUUAAUUUCCGUGUUUUUUCUUUCCUGUUCUUGUCUUCCCUGAGCUAUGAUCACCAGCUAGAGGUACCUGUAUCAACCCAGGUUUUCAGGCAAAACGAAUUUUUUCAUUUCGUCGAGCUUUUCUAGUGCCUUUGUAUUUCCCUGUUUCUGGAUGGUGGUUCAUGUGUUGUGUUUCUCUACCCAGGUUGGCUCCAGCACUGCCUAAGGUCUCCGAAAAGCGUAGCGUCAGAACCGUCACGAGAGCAGUGUUUUGAAGCAUCAAGGUUCUCUCUUCUUUUCAUUUCGUUGUUCUUUCGCUUCUUUUCCAUGGCAUGUUUUACUGGUCUCUUCCUGCCAGGUGAUGCUAUUGAAUUCUUGAGGUGCGUGGAUAGUCUUCUUUGCUUGUUGACAAGAUUGGCGAGAGUUUAUCAUCGCGAAUAACAAGAGCUUUUUCUUCAGUGUUAUCUCUCGGCCAGUCGGCAUUAAGUUCCCAGUCAGAAACGAUAAGAGAGGGUGUGGGGUUUAGACGUGUUUUGGCUAUGGCUGCGAGAUUGGUGGUAGCAGGGCGAGUAGCAGCUCCUCCCGCCCGACUACUUUCGCCCUCUCCUCGCGUCCAUCGAGCUACAUUCGUCACAACGUCCCGCUCUUCUGGUGGUUUUCAUUUGGAGCAGGAUGGAUUAUCCUCUUCCAGCUCACGGUCUUCUUGCUUUUCCUCCUUCCAGUUCCUGUUUCUCGGUCUCUCACGAAAAAGCUUGUUUGUCCUUCCAGGUCUGCUGUACCUUUGUCCCCUGUCCCCAAGAAACGUAAUGCUACGAGGAUUUCGCUGGGAGCAGCAGUGCUUCGCAACUUUCAAGGUUUUGCUCGCUGUAAAUGCCUCGGUGAGGCAUUUUAAAGAGUGUCUAGCUAAAAGUUCGAGUUUUUCUCCAGCAGGAUUCGAGCAUUUCAGCCGUCUCAAGGAUGAUGGGUGAUGUAGUAAGAUUGAUUCGUUUCUCAUUUACUCACUGUGUGCUCUUACAGUUGAGAAGAAGAACAAGAAGCUAUGGAGGAUGCCAAUCUCUUGACUUGUAGCACGGUCACGGUUUGACGAAAUUUGAGCUCUUUUUCUUUUUGUUCUACUGAGGGUUUGAUAGGGUUUUGUAGCUUAGGAAUGCAGAGGAUUUCCAGUCCAGACGUAAGGAGCUCCCAACAGCGCACGCUCGAGAGACUGGAAAAAGCCAAGAGGAUUUUCAUUCUGGUGUCCGAAUUGAAGGCUUGCAGCAGCUCUAAGGACUUGGACAGAGGUAGGAAAAUCCAUGCCCGAGCUGUAGCAACUGGAGAGAGCUCCAACAUCUACGCAGCGACAACUCUCAUCAACAUGUACUGCAAAUGUGGAAGCCUGGUGGACGCUCGCAGCGUGUUUGACAGAAUGCCACUUUGCAACGCCGUGGCAUGGACUGCUCUCAUGCUGGGUUAUGCGGAGAACAGCUUGGAGGAACAGGCCUUGGAACUCUUCUCCGCUAUGCAGUCGCGGACAUUUAGCUGCGUCCCUGACUCGCGCACCUUCGUGGUGGCUCUCAAGGCGUGUGUUGGACUGGCAACGAAGGAAGCUGUCCAGGACAUCAACGGGAAGCUUGUGAAGAUGAAGUCACUGGAGAAAGGAAUGGCUGUUCACCACCAAGCCGUAAGAGUAUUACAGGGAGCUUUAGCUAUAGCACAAGAUAUCUACCUGGGAAGUGCGCUCGUCAACUUUUACGCAAGAUGUGGGGACUUGAGCAGCGCUAGCAGAGUUUUCGACGAGAUGUCGAGCCGGAAUGCUGUCGCCUGGAACGCUCUGAUGCUCGGGUAUACGGAGAGUGGCGAUUCGGAGCGGGCUUUGGAGCUGCUGGAACGGAUGCUGGGCGAGGGUUGCACUCCCAACGCCAGGAACUUCGUGGCGGCGUUGAAGGCCUGCUCGAGUUUGGCCGGGGACGAGGCUGGCAGCAAAGUCGAUGGGAAACUCGUCAAGGUGGUGUGCUUGGAAAAAGGCGUGGCCGUGCACUCGCAGGCCGUCAAGUAUGGCUGCGAGGCGGACAUCUUCGUCGGGAGCACGCUGGUGGACGUCUACUCCAAGUGUGGAAGCCUCCUCGACUCUUGGAGAGCUUUCGAGCGAAUGCCGAGGCGGAACGCGGUGUCGUGGAACUCACUGAUGCUGGGGUAUGCCGAGAACGGGGAGCCGGAAGCAGCACUCGAUUUGUUUGUCCGCAUGGCCAACGAAGAAGACGAAGCUAGUCCAGACGAUCGAAGCUACGUUGCCGCGCUCAAAGCCUGCGUUAUUCUGGCAGCCAAGGAAGAGGAAGGCCGCGGAGAGAAGCUGGUGAAGGUGGCAGCGCUCGAGAAAGGGAUGGCUAUUCACGCUCGAGCUGCGAGUAAGCACUUCGAACGGGAUAUCUUCGUCGCCAACAUGCUCGUGGACAUGUACUUCAAGUGUGGAAGUAUGGCGGACGCUUCCCGAGUCUUCGGCAGGAUAGAGAAUCCGACAGUGGUUUCCUGGACGUCGUUGAUACUGGGAUACAUCGACAACGGCGAAGGAGCUCUGGCUCUCAGGCUCUUCGAUCAGAUGCAAGCUCGGGGUUGCCGGCCGAGUGCUCAGACUUUCGUGGCCGCGAUGAGAGCUUGCACUUGCGAGGCUUCGAAAGAAGGUGGCGAUGGGAAGCUUGUCAAGAAGAAACAGUGGCUGCAGCGCGGGAUGGCCGUCCACGAUCAGGCAGUAAAGCGGGGACUGGAAUCCAACAUCUUCGUGGCAAGCGCAGCGGUGGAUCUCUGCUCCAAGUGUGGCAGCAUGGACAACGCCCGGAAGAUCUUCGAGCAAAGUCCCUCGAGCCACGGUUUGGCCUCGUGGAACGCACUGAUGCUCGGCUACGUGGAGAACGGCGACGCAGCAUCGGCACUCGGCUUGUUCUCGCGGCUCCAGCGGCAGAAAAACUCGUGGAGCUCGUCACCCAACGCUAGAACUUACGCUGCUGCGCUCAAGGCCUGUGGAGCUCUCGGUCUUCUCAGCUCAACCAAGCUCGUCCACGCGGAGAUCUGCCGCUGCGGAGCCUCGUCCGACGCAGUGCUGGCCAACUCGCUCGUCGACGCCUACGGCAAGUGCGGCGGCCUCGACCACGCGCAGCAAGCUUUCGACUCCAUCGCCAGCCCGGACGCCAUCACCUGGAACGCGCUCAUCACGUCUUACAGCUCCCAGGGAGACACCAACCGAGUUUUCCAGCUCCUGGGCGAGAUGCUAGGCCGGGGAUGGGAGCCGAGCGCCGUGACUUACACCUCGCUGCUCAUCGCGUGUAGCCGCGGGGGUCUGGUGGAUCGGUGUUGGAAGUUCUUCCGGGAGAUGGAGUCCAAGCACGGGGUGGCUCCUCGCAUCGAGCACUACCACUGCGUGAUGGACACACUGGGGCGAGCCAACCGGGUGGAGGAGGCGGUGAGGCUGGCGGAGGAGAUGCCGUUUGAGCCGAGUGGAGUGACUUGGACGACGGUGUUGAGCGCUUGCGAGAGCGUGGAGGCCGGGAGGGGCGCGUUUGGAUCGUUGCUCGGGAUGGAGGAGGCGGACAGGAAGGCUGGCUGCGCUCUCAUGUCCAACUUGUGUAGUAGUAAAAUCUAAGUCACACGUCCUUUUAAAUAGCUGAUAACUAAAAGCUUUUCACUCUCUGAAGCUCGUAUCGUUUAAUGGUAGCAAUAUAAUAAUUUUUUUAAAUGUAGAAUUGUGUAGUUAUAAGAUUAAAAGAAGUGGUCUUCAUCCAGUUGGUAGAGGUACAAUCAGCAAAAACCAUGAGACCUAAAAUUUGAUAAAGCUCAUCACGGAUAUGUUAGUCCAGUAACUUCAAGACUUGGGCUUUUUCUUUGCAGGAGGUUCUUCUUCCACCAUCGUCUUCUUAGCAGCCUCAAUCCAUCGCAAGGCACCACCCGAGAGGCGCCAGUGGCGCUCGUGCUUCAAAAUCCACAGGACUCAAAUCCCAGGCCUUCCAAACGCCAUCUUCAUCGCCCGGGCUUCCAUCACCUCUGCCUCCAUCGCAUCCCUGUAGCUGUGGCCUCUGCGCCCCCUUUAAUGGUGCCAUGCAAGAGUUCGGCGUCCGCUCGCUUCAACACAGAGCUCACUCCUGGGAAAGAAGUUAUGCAGCACGGCUCCUUGUCCACGGGGGAGCACGGCAGCAAGAAGUACUGGAAUGAUCUGAGCAGCUUUGGCUUUUCUGUCUUCGUCUUAAAGUCCAGAGGAUCCCAGCACUAGAUGAAGUCGUGGCACGCAUCAGCGCAAAGUCGCAGCCCUCGUCCCUGGAUAUGUUUUUCAGAUUGUACCGUGGCUUGUCUGCCAUAUCGAAGUGCUCUGGUCGGACAAAAUCUCCAUUCAGGCACCGGGUACACGACUUGGUCACACGAGCAGAUGUAAGGAAGAAGUGGGGGCUGAGUGCUAUGCCACUGCCAAAGCUAACGAUCCCACUCUCAUGUGUUGCACGAAUGGCCUCCUUGAGUAUAGCUGGUUUUCCAUACACUGAGCUGCCCAAUCUGGGUGGAUCACCCGCUGGGAAGAUAACCGUGCCCGAUUCAAAGUCGACGCCCAGAAUUCUAUUGAACUUACCUUUCCUAGAUGGAUCUGUCUCCUUGACCGCUAAAGUUUCUAAAACCUUCUCUUGAAGUUUUGCCUGUUCUCGGCCAAUAGCCGAAUCUAUAGGUGCAUAGUAAAUAACAUAAGGCUCCCCACGAACAAGGCUCUUCCAUAACAAACCCUAGCAGGAAUUAGACCUUCCUUUUAUAGCUGUGUGCGGGUAAAGGUUUACCUCCUUAACCAGCCCAUUAUGAUAAACCUGAGACGAGAGUCGGCGUCGAAGUUUUGCAGGAGCUGGUCUUCCUGAGCUCUACGCGAUGGGGAUCCAGGUCCGCGCCGAGCUGCCAUGGAAGAAGUCGAAUAGAGGAGUGUGGAGUGCGUGUCCGAGCUUGUGCUGCUUCCGCCAGCUUCUCAUUUGAGAGAGCUUGAUUUAGCAUUCAUUCAGUCUAGUUGUCUCUGGCUUUUGAGGAGUUGAAUUUGAGGGCGCAAUAGUAAUAGGGGCUCGUUUGAAGAUUGUUCCACCUGAAGAAGACAAGGCAGCGGCAACUCCAGCACAAUAAUCUCUCGGAUCCUCUCUCCCGAAGGGCUUCAAGUGAAGAAGUGUGUUUCGUUCCAGGAAAACCAGACUUUCUUUUCCAGCUUUGGUUGACACGACCGAGGUGGCGGACACGAGCAACGUUUUUUAUAUGAAAAAAAUCAUACCAUUGAAGAAGGGAGAGAGAUUCGUCAGGACAUUCCCUUAAAGAGGAAGAAAAUUUCUCCUUAAUAAGGGUAGGAAUGGAACGCAGUAGGGUUUGCAAUGCGGGAGCCUUUCGGGUAUGUCUGUGAUCUGCCUUAUUAUGUAACUCCUAGUAUCCAGCAGAUGUGUCGAGAAGAACAAAAGCUCCUGAAAGAGGUUUCAGGAGAGGUAGCAGUGAAUCUAGGAAGGGAAAGUUUAGUAGAGUUUUGGCGGUUGACUAUGAAUCAGGCACUGUUAUUUUCCCGAAGGAUGAUCUUCUAGUUCUACAAGCCCAAGCUGGUCAGUAUAUGGAAGGAAUCCAACUAUACUCAAGGAAGCCAUUCGCGCAACACACAGGCUCCAAAGUGUGGAUGAGGGUAGGAUGGUUCACUUCGGCAGUGGCGUGGCGCUCAGCCCGCAGUUCCUCCUUACAUCUGCUCGUAUGGCCAAGUCGUCUACCCAGUGCCUGAAUGGCGAUUUUGUGCGAUCAGAGCACUUCGAUAUGGCAGAGAAGCCACGGUACAAUCUGGAAACUGUAUCCAGGGACGAAGGCUGUGAUAUGGUGCUGAUGCGUGUCAAGACUUCAAGCGCUGGCGCGACUCUAGAGAAGGCAAAGCUGCUCAAGUCUUUCCAGUACUUCCUGCUGCCAUGCUCCCCAGUGGACAAGGCGCCAUGCUGCAUAACUUCCUUCCCGGGUGUGAGCUCCCUGUUGAUGCGAGCGGACGCAGACCUCUUGCACGGCAUCAUUCAUGGAGGUACUGAGGCUAGUCUCGGGGGCAUUUACAGGGAUGCGAUGGAGGCAGAGGCGAUGCAAGUUCGAGCCAUGCAUCAGUACAAGCCAUAACGUUCGUAGAUCAUUACCAAAUCUCGUCAAGUUCCACUGAUUCGAGGCCGGGAUGCGACGCACUUGAUUUUCUUGGGACGGUAACUCAUUCUUUUGUCUUUGCUGUUCUUUGUCCGUAUCAGUCAGUGAGUGACGCAAGACCAGAAAUCUGGCGAAAGCCACGGUAUGCCCCAUCGGGCGCCACGGAGACCAUAAAAUCUUUUCUUCUUCUUCUUUGUCUCGUUUUUCUUUUUUUUACACUUAAACUUAUUCUUUGCAGGCUCCUUCCCGCGCUCUUUUACAACAACGUUUUGGCUAGCAUGCCCCACUGUAUAAAAAUCUGUAUGUUCGUGAUUGGACAUCUCCAGAUCGUGUAGAUGUAUGGCUCCUUGCCUAAGCUCAAUAUUGAGCUCAAUCGAAGCUAUUGUGGAGACAAUAUCCUGUCAAGAGAACAGUCUCUAUAACUUUUACCAGGCUUGGAACUUAAAGGAAGAGAGAAAAAGGUUUCCUGGGAUUUUAGAAUCUUUCACGUAUCAAUUAUCGCAGGAAAAUUUCUUUCGUUUAGUCAUGUAACAUGACUAAACCUCUGGGCUUUCCUCUCUAGUGAGAUUCAGGAAGAACGAUAACAGUGGCUUAUGUUCUUUCCUAGCAGGUUGUAGAUCAAACAGAUUCAAGUAGAGCAGUAGCCUCAAGGAGUCUUCAUUCGCAGCAAGCGUAUGUUUGAUUUUUCUUAGAAUAUUUCUCAUUGUGGCAUUUUUGGUCUAGAUAGUGGAUCUACGUAGAAAGCUUCAUCUCACAUUGCAAAUUGCAACAUCAAGUAACACCAUUUCGAUUUCCUUUUACCAUGCCAGUUGGUUUUCUGGUGUUCUUUUUCCAAUCACAGCAAACAAAAUGAAACAGAACGAAAGCUAGAGCUCCAUAAAAAAUCAAGCGUACUCGAUGCUAGCCCCCUUGAACGUGAAGACUUUCUCCUUGUCCUUCCCGCGCGGCACCAGAGUGACAACGAGCUUGUCCGCGUCCUUCAAGCCCAAGAUCUCGACGUUGGGCUUGAUGGAGAAGCGGGCGUUGGUGGUCCGAGUGCUCGACUCGGUCAUCCCGGGCAUGAAGUGGGGGAUGUUGUAGAAAGAGCCAACGUACUCGGCGCAGGAGAGCGUUGUGGUCUCGUUGGCCUCAGGGAGAUUGAUGAACACGUUGAAGUUAGUGUUAUUCUGCAUCCCAACCACCAUCUCUUCCAGGACCAGGAGCUCGUCCGAAGCGCUGCCUUUGGGCUGCGCCACCGUGAUCGUCAGCGGGCCCGCUCCAACCUUGACAGGCUCGGCGUUCUGGGACGAGGAUUUCACGAGUGGAUACUCAGCCGCCAUAGCAGUAGCUCCAGGAACCAACGAAGCAACGAUCGAACUCUUGGGCUGCGCGAAGGCCGUCUUUGCGAGCGGCAGUGGCUUGUAGUUGAUCCAGACCUUGUCCUGGGGCAUGGACGCGUACUUGUACUUGAGCUUCGUCUGGUUGUCGAUGGAAUCUUUCACCUUGACGCGAACGAGGUCCUGGUUCUCAUCGAAGAAGAGGAACUCGGUGUUGAGGUAGUCGGCGUCCGUGAAGUCCUGGUUUCCCAGGGACCUCCACACGUCCCACAUCCUGUCCACGUUACCGUGGUGGCAGUAGAAGAGUGGAUCCUUCCCGGCAGAGUAGAAGUUGCCCAGGUCCUCGCCAUUGGGGUUAUUGGGGCUGCCGCCAAAGAUGUGCACGGCCGUGUGUGGGGCUUUCUCCAGAGAUCCAUCGGCACCGUUAUUGUUCCCUUUCCUGCAUAAGACAUGGCUCCGUCACCUUUUUCUGGCCAUGCACACGUACCUUAUGGGAGCGCCGAAGAAGGCGUCCCGGAGCUUGACCUUAGCGACGUUGUUGUACAUGACGGAGAUGUUGUCCUGGCGGAUCUGAUCGUCGGUCUUGUAGGUGGGCUCGCCGAAGCUGGGGUCGACGCCGGGCGCGUAGCCGAGAUCCACUCGCGCGGGCGCGUAGUUUGCCUCGUUGCGAUUGGCGUCGAAGAUGGGGGUGCCCUCGCGCCGAAACAUCUCCGGGAUGUAGCUCCCCCCCUCCUGGUUGUCCCAGUUCCAAAACGGCAGCGCGAAGGUUGGAUCGUUGAUCAAGCUGCCCAGGAUCUUCUCGUGGUAGUAGAGGUACCAGCGGUGCCACGGCAGGAAGAGCCAGUUGAAGUGGAUCUGGAGCGUUGACUUUGGAUCGCCCUCCUGGCGGUAGCCGAAGUUGCAGUAGACGCAGUGGACGUUUGCCUGCUGCCGGAAGCUCCGGGGAUCAUCCGAGGGAAGCGCGCGCAUCUUGGCGUAGGCCUCGUUGUACUUCUGGAUGUAGUCCUCGUCCACGAGAUGGGCGGCGGGGCGGGUGCGCAUGGGGCCGGUGUCGGGCUUGAAGUCGAUGGUGUCGCGCUUGGGCUUGGGCGGGCAGCACGCCACGAAGGUGUUGGUGUUGGCGAUGUUGGCGGGCUGGCAGCGCUUGAAGGUGGGAGAUCCCACGGGCUCGGCGAGCGCGGGACCAGUAGGGGACGCUGCGAGCGAAGCUCCGCCGGCGAUUGUUCCCGCCAGGAGCUCGCGGCGAUCGAUGAUCGAGGCCGGAGUGGAGCUACCUUUCUUGGAGGGGAAAGAGGGAUUACCAGACUCCCCUGUUGCUGCAUUGGCUUCUUUCCUGGCAUUGGCGGUGAUCUUGAGCGUACCCCGGGAGCGAUUGGGCAGAAGUGGGCAUCGGCUCCGGUGCUGGAGCUUGACGCGAUCGAGCGAGAGUGCCGCGGAAGACAUGCCCAGCAGCGAAUCCAUGCUGGAUGAGAGAUUCCAAACCUCGACUGACGACGUCGUAGGAAGCGUACCUUUUUAAAGGACGAACAAGCUCACAUGACUCUCGUGGGAGUAGUGGCGAUAAUAUUUCAGACCAAAGUGAUCGGACUUUGAUCCACGAGAACCCCGUGUCUCUUAGAAUUCUUAUCAAAACUGCCACGUCAUUGCAGCCUUUAGUAGGGUUACCGUCUUUUCAGGAGACGAGCAAAGAUAUGCUUGAAACAGCAGUGAAUGAGGGGAAUUCGUAAUUGGCGUAAGUUUAUUUGAUAUCCAUCUGCACGGUAGCAUUUCCACGGUACGGCCCAGCUUGUUCUCUGAUUCCGUUCGCUUUGAACUGUAGUUGCCACUUUCUUGAACAAGCCAUGUAAAGCUUUUAGCAGAACAUCGCCACAAGGUAAACACUUAAAUUACCUUCGCCUUUGAUAGGCUAGGUUGUGUUCGAAGUGUUUUUUGAGCCGCUGCUCACCCACCUUUUAAACGGGUCGAUUGCCACAUUCAUGGAAAUCCGGACAUUAGUCGUCACCUUCGCCUACAACAUUCGAGGUACGUGCUGAAUGAAUCUCACGCUUGACUGUUCGAUUUGUGAGAGCUUAAGGAGCUCCGGGAAAGCACCAAAGGUACAAACAAGAGCCGAGGGGAGGGAGUUGGCCAGGCGUUUCCUAGGCUUGGGUUUCGUAGCAGUUUGAUCGAUCAUGUGGUGUAGCUCGCACCAGUGUCGUCAUGCAUAUACCACGCCCCGUUACUGUGGAUCAUAAAAGAAAGCUCGAACUAAAGAGAAGGAAAAACAGAGAACACGAACUCGAGUUGGCCGGGCGACGACUUCGUUCCUGCCACCUUAACGGAAAAGGGACGUCGAGGGGGCUAGGGCUUGAUCCAAGGUGACCACUCUGACCGUACGCCUGGAUCAUCGAGUUCCAGGACCUCUCGGCAUUCGAUCAAAUACUCUCCUAGCGUCCUCCAGGUGACCGCUCUCAGCGUACACUGCGAUCAUUGCGUUCCACGGGUUUGUGUAGCAGCCUUGCUUCUCGCUCCUCCCUGCUCCGACCAAAGAUCAUGGAGUUCCAAGACGUGACAUCCGCCAAAACGCCAGCUUGGCAUCGCUGAUAUGCCGGGCAUGGGCAUAUCCCGUCCAAGAGAUGAUAAUCUUCCAAGGCAUUUGAUCAGAAAUUCCCUUGGCUUCCUCCGCAGAUUGACACUGCACGCAAGCCAGAAUUGCUGCACCAAGUCCCGGCAAGGCACUUUUUCAAAGACCCUGAUACAAUCCUCUUGGUGCCCAGAUUGGGCAUAAGCUGCUGAUCUUGUGUUCCACGAUGUUAUAUCCCUUCUCGGAAUUUCUGGGAAGAGGCUCAAAGCUACCCCACAUGACCGUCUAUCCAUACGCUACUCGUAUGGUCGUCCUCGCCACGGCAUCCUUGUGAGAAAUCCAUCAAACAGCCUUCUCGCUAGAACCAUAUACCUGUUGUGGGAAUACGCUGCUACCAUGGUCGUCAAAGAAACGCCGUCUUUCGGUGGCAUCUGAUCGCAUCACAGCCUUGCAGUGUGAUACUAUCCAGCGGUGUAAUACGCGGUGAUAAUAGAUGCCCAUGAUGCCAAUCCCAAAACGGCAUUCUAUCAAAGAGCCACUGUGAUCGAUCGAUAUGCCGAAGCUGGGCAUUUUCUUAGACCAAAACGUUCCAGGAUACUUGAUCCUUCUCUAGAACAGCGAUGGCGUGCAAUAGUUCUUCUUCGCUUUCAGGAACUAUAGAGCGUCUUAUCGUGAUGUUUCUCCUCAAGAUCAUACAUUGCAACCAAUGAUGAUCCCACGCUCUGAGACGCGCUUGGCAUGGCCACCGGUAGAUCACCGGUUCCGGGACAAGAGCGCUGGAGAGCUCGCAUUGUAUGGCGGGAUUGCCGUUGUCGGGUUUGCGAUUGGAGGUAGUGUGCCGAGCUCGCUGGAAAUCUUGCUGCUGGUUCCCGAGGCGCUCCAGGCAAUAGGCAGUGGGCGUGGGCUACUCGAUCCUCAUCGCUGGUAAGCGAUCAUAUGAUCCAUCCCCCUAUUUUCCUCGCAUUUUUUCUUUUGAAUGUAAAGUUUUCUUUUCCUGAUAAUCCCUUUCGUUUCCCAGUUGUUUUUUUUUUCCAGCGAUGGUGGAGGGAGCACACUCGUGCGAAGCAAAAAAUCGUGCAUCGAAUGGUUGAGUGGAGCUAUACCAAAUGAUAAACUUGAGACGAGAGUCCCGAUCGCCAGCGUCAAAGUUUUGCUGGAAGAAGUUGAGGAGCGCGACGGUGAUGUUCGUGGCCGAGCUUGGCAUCGUCUUGUGCUGCUUCCGCUAGCUUCUCAUUCCGAAAGGAUCCGGAAAACUAGACUUUCCAGGCAUCUUUUCCAGCUUUGCUUGACACGAUCGGGGUGACAUACAAUCUCUGCCUUGGGAGCGGACACGAGCAAGGAUCGGUACGGUUUUUAUAUGCUAGGAAGGCGAAACGCCAUAGACUUUGUGAGUGAUUGUUGUCUCUUAACUCUCUUCUCACUCCAAGAACGCGAAAGUAGGGGAGCACCGAAAGAAAGAGGGGAAGAACCUCGCGAAUCGCUGAUCCUCCUUUGCAGCAUUCGUCCAUCCAUCCGACGGAGCGUUUCUUUUUGCGAUUUCUUUUAUUCUUUAUUUAUUUAUUUUUUGUUGCAGAGGCAUGGUUGCUGCCUAGCAAGUUGCUCGCCGGUCACCUCAAGAACAGGCUUUUGCUCGCUCCUUUUCUCGGCUCUUCCAACUUUAUUCUAAGUGGAAGAAC